rnacentral:rRNA from 1 species
UACGAAGGGGGCUAGCGUUGUUCGGAAUUAUUGGGCGUAAAGAGCUCGUAGGCGGUUUGUCGCGUCUGCUGUGAAAACCUAAGGCUCAACCUUGGGCUUGCAGUGGGUACGGGCAGACUAGAGUGCGGUAGGGGUGACUGGAAUUCCUGGUGUAGCGGUGGAAUGCGCAGAUAUCAGGAGGAACACCGGUGGCGAAGGCGGGUCUCUGGGCCGAUACUGACGCUGAGGAGCGAAAGCGUGGGGAGCGAACAGG